UACAGAGGGUGGCUAGCGUUGUUCGGAAUCAUUGGGCGUAAAGGGCGUGUAGGCGGUUUGUUAAGUCAUGUGUGAAAUACCCCGACGGCUUAACCCGUGGAACUGCUUGGUAUACUGCCUGUCUUGAGCCAGCUAGGGGCGACCGGAACAAAUGGUGGAGCGUGAAAUGCGUAGAUAUCAUUGGAACGCCAAUGGUGAAAACAGGUCGCUGGGGCUGUGCUGACGCUGAGACACGAAAGCCAGGGGAGGCAAACGGG
rnacentral:rRNA from 1 species